rnacentral:lncRNA from 1 species
UUGCUUUUCCUGGGAGAUUUUAAUUUUCUUUUCCAACCCUUCUACUGUUUUUAUUCCUGCUAUGCACAUUUUUAAUAUCCAAGGUUUCUUAUAAAAAUGUUGUCCUGUUUGUUUCAUAGAUGCACUAUGAACUUAUCUGAGAAUAUCAGCAUGUUUUAAAAUUCUCAUAUCCCUAUAUAGUCUGUUUUCUCCAACACUGCUUCCCCUCUGCCCCUGUUCAUUUGUUUUCAUUUCUAAAACUCAUGUUUAGAGGCUUUCCUCAGAUGCAUGGAUAAUCCUUGGUUGCCUGCUUAUGAUUUAGAGCCAGGGACUAAAAAAAACAUUCUGGAAGAUCUGAGCACAUGGUUUUAGGACUUCUGGACUUUGGGGUUCACUGCAGGGUAUCUUUAUGGGACCUUUGUUGGGGAAACUUAGGCCUAUAUCUUGGGAAUUGCCAGAGUCUCCAGAAAAUAAUCUUUUAAAAUUUCUGCAUGGAGAAUAAAGAUUUGGUUGUGUCAGCUUAGUGGGGAGACAAGGAUGAGGAUCCUAGCAUUCAAUAAUCACAUGCCCUCUUAAUCCUCAUCUUCAAGUGACUACUUGUGACCUGAAUUUGGCUUAGUAUGCCCUGUACAGAAAUUCUUUCAUUUUGCCUUUUCCAGAAAAUAAACAUUUAGAUUUCUGUGAGGAUGAGGAAUCUACAUUUAUGAGGAUAUAUGCAGGAUAAAUUCCGAGAGUGGGAUUGCUGGAUUGAAGAGUGAUUUUAUUUCAAGUGAGUCCCAUGCCCAGUGUGGAGUCCACCAUGGAGCUUGAACUCAUGACCCUGAGAUCAAGACCUGAGCUGAAAUCAAGAGUUGGAUGCUUAACCAACUGAACCCCCCAGGUGCCCUGAGUGUAUACAUUUUCACUUUGUAUUAGUUAUUGUCAAAUUAUGCUCUAUUGAGCUUGUAUCAUACAUAUCACCAACAGCAAUAUAUGCUUUCUCAUACCUUGUAAAUUAGUCGUCAAACUUUUUGACUUUGAAAAAAUGUGAAAAAUAUUUUACCCAUAUUAUUUUAAUUUGCAUUUCUCUUAAGUUUAAGAUUGGGCAUCUUUUCAUGGUUGAGACAUGUUUCCAUUUUUUUCCCUCUGAAGCAUUUGCUCACAUAACCUUUGCCCAUUGUAUUGUUAACUGAUUUAUAGGAGCUCUUUACUUUUUCAUUUCUGGUUUGUUGAAUUUGCUUAUAGUAGUUUACUAGAAAGGAAAAAAAAAAUUUUAACAGAGCACUUUUAUUUUCUAUGCAAAGGUGAUUCAGGAACUUACAUAAAGAUGAGAUGGGCAGCUAAGCAAGGAGCUUCCAGUAUGGCUUGGUUGGGCAAAGCAGGGCCAGGCCCCCCCCCCAUCCCACAGGCUGCCUAAUGGGCCUUCUGCUUUUCCUAAUAGGACAUGGCCAAAGGGACAGUAGAGAGAGGAAAGGAGGCAACCCCAGCCUCCACUGUGCCACCCUUUCCUAACUGCCCAGUUAGUGAGGCUUUGGGCCUUGCCUGAUGAGCUCCAUUGUGUCUGAGUUUGAGGGUAUUAGAAAUAGGGGGAGAUGGGAUGCCUGGGUGGCUCAGCGGUUGAGUGUCUGCCUUUGGCUCAGAGCAUGAUCCUGAGUCCUGGGAUUGAGUCCCGCAUCAGGCUCCCUGUGAGGAGCCUGCUUCUCUCUCUGCCUACGUCUCUGCCUCUCUCUGUAUGUCUCUUAUGAAUAAAUAAAAUCUUUAAAAAAAAAAGAAGAAACGAGGAGAACUGGAAGGAAACUGCCUUCUUGAAACAUGUAUUUCCUUGUUUAUUUUUUAAAGAUUUAGAGAGAGAGAGAGAAAGCACAAGAAGCAGAGGGAGAGAGAGUAUCAAGCAGGGUCCAUAUUCAGCAUGAAGCCCCAUGUGGGGCUUGAUCUCAGGACCCUGAGAUCAUGACCUGGGCCAAAAUCAAGAGUCAUAUGCUUAAAUGACUAGGCCACCCAGGCACCCCUUGUUACUGUUUUGUCUUAAAGGCAUUUUGGGGAUCAAAAUGCCAUUAUAGUAGUAGGGACUACAGCAUCUUUUUUUUUUUUCAGAUUUUAUUUAUUCAUGAGAGAUACACAGAGAGAGGCAGAGACAGAGGCAGAGGGAGAAGGAGGCUCCCUAUGGGGAGCCUGAUGUGUGACUCAAUCCCAGGAUUUCAGGACCACGCCCUGAGCCAAAGGCAGACACUUUAACUGCUGAGCCACCCAGCUGUCCUGGGACUAUAUAGCAUCUAGAAGUACUGGGAGGGGAAAACAUUCUUUAGUGUGGUCAAAUGUCUUCUGCAUCUUCUGUUUUGUUGAGAAAGACCUUCGACAUUCUGAGAUUAUUAAAAAUGUCUCCUUUUACUGCUAUUUUUCUUUAUUGUAUUUUAAUUUUUCAUUCACUUGGAUUUUUCCCCUAGAUGGCUACCCAGU